AUUGAACGCUGGCGGCAUGCUUUACACAUGCAAGUCGAACGGUAACAGGCCUUCUGGUGCUGACGAGUGGCGCACGGGUGAGUAAUGCAUCGGAACGUACCCAGAGGUGGGGGAUAACGCAGCGAAAGCUGUGCUAAUACCGCAUGUGAUCUGAGGAUGAAAGCGGGGGACCGAGCAGCAAUGUUUGGCCUCGCGCCUUUGGAGCGGCCGAUGUCGGAUUAGCUAGUUGGUGGGGUAAAGGCCUACCAAGGCGACGAUCCGUAGCUGGUCUGAGAGGACGACCAGCCACACUGGGACUGAGACACGGCCCAGACUCCUACGGGAGGCAGCAGUGGGGAAUUUUGGACAAUGGGCGCAAGCCUGAUCCAGCAAUGCCGCGUGCGGGAAGAAGGCCUUCGGGUUGUAAACCGCUUUUGGCAGGAACGAAACGGUGUCCGCUAAUACCGGGCGCUAAUGACGGUACCUGCAGAAUAAGCACCGGCUAACUACGUG
rnacentral:rRNA from 1 species